rnacentral:rRNA from 1 species
AUUGAACGCUGGCGGCAGGCCUAACACAUGCAAGUCGAGCGGUAGCACAGGAGAGCUUGCUCUCUGGGUGACGAGCGGCGGACGGGUGAGUAAUGUCUGGGAAACUGCCUGAUGGAGGGGGAUAACUACUGGAAACGGUAGCUAAUACCGCAUAAUGUCGCAAGACCAAAGAGGGGGACCUUCGGGCCUCUUGCCAUCAGAUGUGCCCAGAUGGGAUUAGCUAGUAGGUGGGGUAAUGGCUCACCUAGGCGACGAUCCCUAGCUGGUCUGAGAGGAUGACCAGCCACACUGGAACUGAGACACGGUCCAGACUCCUACGGGAGGCAGCAGUGGGGAAUAUUGCACAAUGGCGCAAGCCUGAUGCAGCCAUGCCGCGUGUAUGAAGAAGGCCUCGGUUGUAAGUA